CAUACACGACCGUACCGCAAACCGACACUGGUGCGCGAGAUGAGUAUUCUAAGGCGCUUGAGAGAACUCAGGAGAAGGAACUCGGCAAAUUGACACCGUAACUUCGGAAGAAGGUGUGCCUUUAGUAGGUGAACCUGUACAAGGGGAGCCCAAUGAGGUUGCAAAAAAUCGGUGGCUGCGACUGUUUAAUAAAAACACAGCACUCUGCAAACACGAAAGUGGACGUAUAGGGUGUGACGCCUGCCCGGUGCUGGAAGAUUAAAUGAUGGGGUGCAAGCUCUUGAUUGAAGUCCCAGUAAACGGCGGCUGUAACUAUAACGGUCCUAAGGUAGCGAAAUUCCUUGUCGGGUAAGUUCCGACCUGCACGAAUGGCGUAACGAUGGCCACACUGUCUCCUCCUGAGACUCAGCGAAGUUGAAAUGUUUGUGAUGAUGCAAUCUCCCCGCGGAAAGACGGAAAGACCCCAUGAACCUUUACUGUAGCUUUGUAUUGGACUUUGAACAGAUCUGUGUAGGAUAGGUGGGAGGCUUUGAAGUGUGGUCGCUAGAUCGCAUGGAGCCAACGUUGAAAUACCACCCUGGUGUGUUUGAGGUUCUAACCUAGGCCCGUAAUCCGGGUCGGGGACAGUGCAUGGUAGGCAGUUUGACUGGGGCGGUCUCCUCCCAAAGCGUAACGGAGGAGUUCGAAGGUACGCUAGGUACGGUCGGACAUCGUGCUAAUAGUGCAAUGGCAUAAGCGUGCUUAACUGCGAGACUGACAAGUCGAGCAGAUGCGAAAGCAGGACAUAGUGAUCCGGUGGUUCUGUAUGGAAGGGCCAUCGCUCAACGGAUAAAAGGUACUCUGGGGAUAACAGGCUGAUACCGCCCAAGAGUUCAUAUCGACGGCGGUGUUUGGCACCUCGAUGUCGGCUCAUCUCAUCCUGGGGCUGUAGCCGGUCCCAAGGGUAUGGCUGUUCGCCAUUUAAAGAGGUACGUGAGCUGGGUUUAAAACGUCGUGAGACAGUUUGGUCCCUAUCUUCCGUGGGCGCUGCAGAUUUGAGGAAGCCUGCUCCUAGUACGAGAGGACCGGAGUGGACACACCUCUGGUGUAUCGGUUGUCACGCCAGUGGCAUUGCCGAGUAGCUAUGUGUGGAAGAGAUAACCGCUGAAAGCAUCUAAGCGGGAAACUCGUUUCAAGAUGAGAUCUGCCGGGGCCUUGAGCCCCCUAAAGAGUCGUUCAAGACCAGGACGUUGAUAGGUCGGGUGUGGAAGCGCAGUAAUGCGUUAAGCUAACCGAUACUAAUUGCUCGUGCGGCUUGAC
rnacentral:rRNA from 1 species